rnacentral:rRNA from 1 species
UACGAAGGGGGCUAGCGUUGCUCGGAAUCACUGGGCGUAAAGGGUGCGUAGGCGGGUUUUUAAGUCAGGGGUGAAAUCCUGGAGCUCAACUCCAGAACUGCCUUUGAUACUGAAGAUCUUGAGUACGGGAGAGGUGAGUGGAACUGCGAGUGUAGAGGUGAAAUUCGUAGAUAUUCGCAAGAACACCAGUGGCGAAGGCGGCUCACUGGCCCGGUACUGACGCUGAGGUGCGAAAGCGUGGGGAGCAAACAGG